rnacentral:rRNA from 1 species
ACUCCUACGGGAGGCAGCAGUGGGGAAUAUUGGACAAUGGGGCGAAAGCCUGAUCCAGCCAUGCCGCGUGAGUGAUGAAGGUCUUCGGAUCGUAAAGCUCUGUGGGAAGGGACGAAAAGCCUAACCUAAUACGUUAGGUCUUGACGGUACCUUCUUAGCAAGCACCGGCUAACUCCGUGCCAGCAGCCGCGGUAAU